CAAUAAGUCAACUUACUGGUUGUGCAUGGAAACUGACAACUGCAGGGUGGGAGAUGCAACAAUGGACUUGAGAACAGCAGGAAGUGUGUUGGUGGUCUUUCUCUGGUCUGUAGCAGUGGUACUCGGGAAAUAUGGUUGGAGUGUGACUUACACCAAGAAGAGUAUCUGUGCCUUGAAGGGGUCAACAGUGGAUCUGUCCUGCUCUUACACAUAUCCCAGAGGUCAUAGAGUCACAACAACCACAUGGAAUAAACGGAAGAGUUUAACUUGGACUCAAAUCCAAGAUAAAUAUUGUUAGCGUG
rnacentral:lncRNA from 1 species